GGUGAGAUGGCCGAGUGGUUAUGGCGCUGCGUUCAGGUCUUGGAACCGAACAAAUUUCGCAGUGGAGCAAUCCGCGUGGGUUCGAGUCCCACUCUCAUCA